rnacentral:rRNA from 1 species
CACUGCCUGCCCAGUGACAAUUGUUUAACGGCCGCGGUAUCCUGACCGUGCAAAGGUAGCAUAAUCAUUUGUUCCCUAAAUAGGGACUUGUAUGAAUGGCCACACGAGGGUUUAACUGUCUCUUACUUCCAAUCAGUGAAAUUGACCUUUCCGUGAAGAGGCGGAAAUACACCAAUUAGACGAGAAGACCCUAUGGAGCUUUAAUUUACCUACUCCAAUAGAAUAAUCAACUACCCACCAGGGACAACACUAAUUCUUACUGGAUAGAAAAUUUCGGUUGGGGUGACCUCGGAGCAUAAACUAACCUCCCAGAUUUUUACCAAGACUAACAAGUCAAAGUACAGUCCUAUCAAUUGAUCCAGUCUAACUGAUCAACGGAACAAGUUACCCUAGGGAUAACAGCGCAAUCCUAUUCUAGAGUCCCUAUCGACAAUAGGGUUUACGACCUCGAUGUUGGAUCAGGACAUCCCAAUGGUGUAGCAGCUAUUAAUGG